AUUACUUACUGCAGAUAUUAUCAAUUUCUCGUUUCCUUUUUUUAAUAAAUUAUAGAACAUUUGGAUGCAUGUAUGCAUGGAAUUUAUUUAUUUUUAAAUAUUAAAUGCAUAUUGUCUGUAAUUCCGAUUUUGUUGAGUAUUUUGCGGAUUAUCAGGAUAAUUCAUUUCCCGACUACUCCGAUUAAUCGGGAGUAUACUGUAAAUAAUUUUGAUAAACGUCCUACUUGUUAUGAUGGAAUAUUGAUCGUUUUCAACGCGAUUGAUUGCCUAAACAGGGGUGGCCAAAAGUCGAUCGCGAAGCAAUUUUGGUCAAUCGCUCGCGACGUCUUGACUACAAUCCACUACAUGAUAAAUAUAGCACUAAUUUAGGACCCUAGUUAGGGCGGCAGUAAGGGCAUUCUGUUUACAUUGCAG
rnacentral:lncRNA from 1 species